rnacentral:rRNA from 1 species
GGGUGGUAAUGCCGGAUGUUCCACAUGAUCGCAUGUGAUUGUGGGAAAGAUUCUAUCGGCGUGGGAUGGGGUCGCGUCCUAUCAGCUUGUUGGUGAGGUAACGGCUCACCAAGGCUUCGACGGGUAGCCGGCCUGAGAGGGCGACCGGCCACAUUGGGACUGAGAUACGGCCCAGACUCCUACGGGAGGCAGCAGUGGGGAAUAUUGCACAAUGGGCGCAAGCCUGAUGCAGCGACGCCGCGUGAGGGAUGGAGGCCUUCGGGUUGUAAACCUCUUUUGUUUGGGAGCAAGCCUUCGGGUGAGUGUACCUUUCGAAUAAGCGCCGGCUAACUACGUGCCAGCAGCCGCGGUAAUACGUAGGGCGCAAGCGUUAUCCGGAUUUAUUGGGCGUAAAGGGCUCGUAGGCGGCUCGUCGCGUCCGGUGUGAAAGUCCAUCGCUUAACGGUGGAUCUGCGCCGGGUACGGGCGGGCUGGAGUGCGGUAGGGGAGACUGGAAUUCCCGGUGUAACGGUGGAAUGUGUAGAUAUCGGAAAAAAAACACC